rnacentral:rRNA from 1 species
GAUGAACGCUAGCGGCAGGCUUAAUACAUGCAAGUCAAGGGGGUAGCAAUACAACCGGCGCACGGGUGAGUAACGCGUACACAACAUACCAUAUACUGGGGUAUAGCUUUGGGAAACUGAAGGUAAUCCCCCAUAACAUUGCGAGAGGGCAUCUGAUUGCAAUUAAAGUUUCGGCGGUAUAUGAUUGGUGUGCGUUUGAUUAGCUAGUUGGUAGGGUAACGGCCUACCAAGGCGACGAUCAAUAGCUGGCGUGAGAGCGCGACCAGCCACACUGGAACUGAGACACGGUCCAGACUCCUACGGGAGGCAGCAGUAGGGAAUAUUGGACAAUGGAGGAAACUCUGAUCCAGCCAUGCCGCGUGAUAGAUGAAGGCCCUCUGGGCUGUAAAUAUCUUUUAUCUGGGAAGAAACAAUCUUAUUCUUAAGAUCUUGACGGUACCAGAGGAAUAAGCACCGGCUAACUCCGUGCCAGCAGCCGCGGUAAACU